rnacentral:rRNA from 1 species
AGUGAACGCUGGCGGUAGGCCUAACACAUGCAAGUCGAACGGCAGCACAGUAAGUGCUUGCUCUUGCGGGUGGCCGGUGGCGGGCGGGUGACAUAUACAUCGGUAUCUUAUUGUUGGUGAGGGCUAACGUAGGGGGACUUACACUACUACCGCAUACCACCUACGGGUGGAAGCAGGGGAUCUUCGGCCCUUGCGCGAUGGCAUGAGGCGAUGUCGGAUUAGCUAGUUGGCGGGGUAAAGGCCCACCAAGGCGACGAUCCGUAGCUGGUCUGAGAGGAUGAUCAGCCACACUGGAACUGAGACACGGCCCAGACUCCUACGGGAGGCAGCAGUGGGGAAUUUUGGACAAUGGGCGAAAGCCUGAUCCAGCAAUACCGCGUGUGUGAAGAAGGCCUUCGGGUUGUAAAGCCCUUUUGUUGGGAAAGAAAAGCAGGACGCUAAUACACCGCGGGGCUGACGGUACCGAAAGAAUAAGCACCGGCUAACUUCGUG